GAUGAACGCUGGCGGCGUGCCUAAUACAUGCAAGUCGAGCGAACAGACGAGGAGCUUGCUCCUCUGACGUUAGCGGCGGACGGGUGAGUAACACGUGGAUAACCUACCUAUAAGACUGGGAUAACUUCGGGAAACCGGAGCUAAUACCGGAUAAUAUAUUGAACCGCAUUGUUCAAUAGUGAAAGACGGUUUUGCUGUCACUUAUAGAUGGAUCCGCGCCGCAUUAGCUAGUUGGUAAGGUAACGGCUUACCAAGGCAACGAUGCGUAGCCGACCUGAGAGGGUGAUCGGCCACACGGGAACUGAGACACGGUCCAGACUCCUACGGGAGGCAGCAGUAGGGAAUCUUCCGCAAUGGGCGAAAGCUUGACGGAGCAACGCCGCGUGAGUGAUGAAGGUCUUCGGAUCGUAAAACUCUGUUAGUAGGGAAGAACAAAUGUGUAAGUAACUAUGCACGUCUUGACGGUACCUAAUCAGAAAGCCACGGCUAACUACGUG
rnacentral:rRNA from 1 species